GAUCCUGGCUCAGGAUGAACGCUAGCUACAGGCUUAACACAUGCAAGUCGCGGGGCAGCAGAUAAGAAAGCUUGCUUUUUUAUAGCUGGCGACCGGCGCACGGGUGAGUAACGCGUAUCCAACCUGGCCCAUACCACGGGACGAGCCCGUCGAAAGGCGGAUUAAUACCGUAUGCAGUCAUUAGGGAGCAUUUUUUGAUGACGAAAGGAUUCGGACGGUAUGGGAUGGGGAUGCGUCUGAUUAG
rnacentral:rRNA from 1 species